rnacentral:tRNA from 1 species
GGGGGUGUAGCUCAGAGGUAGAGUGCAUGCUUUGCAUGAGGUCCUGGGUUCAAUCCCCAGCACUUCCA